rnacentral:rRNA from 1 species
AAUAAUACGCCAAAGGGGUACGUAAGUACCGGAUAUUCUUGCUUUUCAUAAGUAUGCAAGCAAAGGUGGCCGUACUGCAUAUGCUACUGCAUGAAGAGGGGUCGUGCGUACCAUUUAGCUAGUAGGUGGGGUAAUGGCCUACCUAGGCGACGAUGGUUAGCGGGUCUGAGAGGAUGAUCCGCCACACUGGCACUGGAACACGGGCCAGACUCCUACGGGAGGCAGCAGUGAGGAAUAUUGCGCAAUGGGGGAAACCCUGACGCAGCGACGCCGCGUGAGUUGAGGAAGGCCUUCGGGUCGUAAAGCUCUGUCAAGAGGAAAGAAGUGUACAAUGGCUAAUACCUGUUGUAUUUGACGGUACCUCUAAAGGAAGCACCGGCUAACUCCGUGCCAGCCGCCGC